rnacentral:tRNA from 1 species
AUGUCCUGGUGGUAGAGUUGCUGCCCGGCAAGCAGUAGAUGCAGGUUCAAGUCCUGCU